rnacentral:SRP_RNA from 1 species
CGGCGGGUCUUAGGUGGGGAGCUAGGGGUCCCCUGAGAGACGCACGGUCUCGACCGUAAACCCCCUAUACGACGGGCCGAAAGCUAAAGUGAGGCGUGUAAGGCCGCUGGUCCGGCCAACCCUAAGCGAUGAGUGCCUGUCCUUUGGGGCUGGCGGUCGCGGGGCAUCCUCCGUAGGGAGGGUGUAACCGCGUUUGCCAAGCGAACCUAGCCAGGCCCGGGAGAUGGACUUAAAGGAAGUAAAAUUGGAAACAUAAUAUUGCCGAAUAUGCUGUCCACCCGAAGGAGCAACCUAAGCUUGGGCGUUCAGCGCUCAGAGGGGUGCGGGUAUGAGCGGUGGGCUGGUUUGGGCCUGCGGAGUCUGCGCGUCGAGCUUUAGUGGCCCGCCG